GAUGAACGCUAGCGGCAGGCUUAACACAUGCAAGUCGAGGGGUAUAGUUCUUCGGAACUAGAGACCGGCGCACGGGUGCGUAACGCGUAUGCAAUCUACCUUUUACAGAGGGGAUAGCCCAGAGAAAUUUGGAUUAAUACCUCAUAGUAUGUGAGAAUCGCAUGGUUUUCACAUUAAAGUUCCAACGGUAAAAGAUGAGCAUGCGUCCCAUUAGCUAGAUGGUAAGGUAACGGCUUACCAUGGCGACGAUGGGUAGGGGUCCUGAGAGGGAGAUCCCCCACACUGGUACUGAGACACGGACCAGACUCCUACGGGAGGCAGCAGUGAGGAAUAUUGGUCAAUGGGCGUAAGCCUGAACCAGCCAUCCCGCGUGAAGGAAGAAGGCGCUAUGCGUUGAAACUUCUUUCCAGGGGAAGAAACCCAUACGCGUAUUGGCUUGCCGGUACCCUGGGAAUAAGCAUCGGCUAACUCCGUGCCAGCAGCCGC
rnacentral:rRNA from 1 species